GCUCCUGUAGUAUAGCCUGGAUAGUACGUGGCCCCGCGAAGGCUGAGACCAGGGUUCGAAUCCCUGCGGGGGCA
rnacentral:tRNA from 1 species